GGCUUGUUUUCAGGAGAAGAUAUAGAGCGCUACAGUGCUACAACGGGUAUAUUUUUUGUAGUGGUUUAUCAGGAAUCUUUCAAAGAAGUAUCAACCCAAGAAGAACUCCGAGGACGAAUACAAGUACACAUCAUGCCGGGCCUUCCUGACGACCUUGAACGAGAUGAACGACUACGCCGGCCAACAUGAGGUCAUCGCUGAGAACUUAUCAGUCCAGAUCAUCAGCGAGCUGUCACGAUACACCCAGGAGCUCAAGCAGGAGCGCA